UCCACCCAGGGAGAAGCCAGAGCGUUCACUGCUCAGUGGGUAGGCCUGGCCAGCUUCCCACGGCUUCUCCUGCCUCCGGAACCCAUAGGCAAUCGUGUGUGCACUGGGUAUCUCUUAUCUCAUAUAUCAACCAUUCGUUCAUCAUCAUUUUUGGUCUUGGAUUCAUCGUUCUGUUUUCUGUUCUUUCGUCCCUCACCCGAACCCGGACAGAUGCAAGUAUAACUGCCUGGGCAGCCACAUCCACAGCGGUGGUGCAUAAGUAAGAAAUCAAAUAAAAUUUUCUGGAACCGUUAUGAGUCUACCUCUCCCUCUCACAAACUAACAUCAGAGGAUAGAACCCACCGGGGCAAUAGUCACAACCUGGCUCAUGCCCUGCACACCUCCCAGGACUCCCCAUUGCACAGGUAUGAAAAUGGCUGUUGCUUUACCACCUACAACAAAGUUUCACUCAACCCUCAGCAAUAUGUUAUAGAAGAAAUUCCAGUUGUAAUUCCUGAGUCUGCUUUGUGUGAUGGACCUAGAAAUGUGUUACGUCAGGGGAGAAUUAACUGGAAGCAUUUCUUUCAGCUACCCAAAAGAAAGGAGUAUGUACAUCACUAUUCAGUGUUUAUGGUUGGAGGAAAUCAUACAAGUGGUUAGGAAGUUCCUCAGCAACUGCAUAACAUGUGGCCAGUAAACCCGGACUCAGCAGUAAAAAUUUAGAACAGACAGUAUAAUUCAGUAUUUCAAGAGCCAAGAAAUCUCUUACUUUAUGGAGCUAAUCUGCCAUUCCUGGAGUGCAAGUAACUUGUAAUUUUCAGUAAAUGCAGUCCCUUCAUAAAGUUUCAUUUGUAUCUUCAAAUGUUAAUACUGGCAUGCAACCAUUUAUAUUUUACUUAUUUUUCCAGCAUAGUCACUUCUGCCAUGCCUAAAGUAAGAUUUUCCAAUAUGUCUAUAAUCUAAAUGUCUAGCAAUAUUACAGCUGUCAAAUCAGAAUGGAAUUGCUUGAUGGUUUUAUCCGCAAAAGCAGA
rnacentral:lncRNA from 1 species